GGGGAUAUAGCUCAAUUGGUAGAGUACUUGCUUUGUAUGUGCAAGGCCCUGGGUUCAAUUCCCAGCACCA
rnacentral:tRNA from 1 species